AUUGAACGCUGGCGGCAGGCCUAACACAUGCAAGUCGAACGAGUGGCGGACGGGUGAGUAAUGUCUGGGACACUGCCCGAUGGAGGGGGAUAACUACUGGACACGGUAGCUAAUACCGCAUACCAUCGGAUGUGCCCAGAUGGGAUUAGCGAGUGGGUGGGGUAAUGGCUCACCUAGGCGACGCGCCCUAGCUGGUCUGAGAGGAUGACCAGCCAAACUGGAACUGAGACACGGUCCAGACUCCUACGGGAGGCAGCAGUGGGGAAUAUUGCACAAUGGGCGCAAGCCUGAUGCAGCCAUGCCGCGUGUAUGAAGAAGGCCGUCGGGUUGUAAAGUACUUUCAGCGAGGAGGCGUUACCCGCAGAAGAAGCACCGGCUAACUCCGUGCCAGCAGCCGCGGUAAUAC
rnacentral:rRNA from 1 species